GCGGCUACCAUGCAGUCGAGCGGAUGAAGGGAGCUUGCUCCUGGAUUCAGCGGCGGACGGGUGAGUAAUGCCUAGGAAUCUGCCUGGUAGUGGGGGACAACGUUUCGAAAGGAACGCUAAUACCGCAUACGUCCUACGGGAGAAAGCAGGGGACCUUCGGGCCUUGCGCUAUCAGAUGAGCCUAGGUCGGAUUAGCUAGUUGGUGAGGUAAUGGCUCACCAAGGCGACGAUCCGUAACUGGUCUGAGAGGAUGAUCAGUCACACUGGAACUGAGACACGGUCCAGACUCCUACGGGAGGCAGCAGUGGGGAAUAUUGGACAAUGGGCGAAAGCCUGAUCCAGCCAUGCCGCGUGUGUGAAGAAGGUCUUCGGAUUGUAAAGCACUUUAAGUUGGGAGGAAGGGCAGUAAAUUAAUACUUUGCUGUUUUGACGUUACCGACAGAAUAAGCACCGGCUAACUCUGUGCCAGCAGCCGCGGUAAUACAGAGGGUGCAAGCGUUAAUCGGAAUUACUGGGCGUAAAGCGCGCGUAGGUGGUUCGUUAAGUUGGAUGUGAAAUCCCCGGGCUCAACCUGGGAACUGCAUCCAAAACUGGCGACGCUAGAGUAUGGUAGAUGGGUGGUGGAAUUUCCCUGUGUAGCGGUGAAUAGUGCCGUA
rnacentral:rRNA from 1 species